rnacentral:rRNA from 1 species
GUGCCAGCCGCCGCGGUAAGACAGAGGGUGCAAACGUUGCUCGGAAUUACUGGGCGUAAAGCGCGUGUAGGCGGGCUGAUAAGUCGGACGUGAAAUCCCUGGGCUCAACCCAGGAACUGCAUCCGAAACUGUCAGUCUGGAGUGGUGGAGAGGGAAGCAGAAUUCCUGGUGUAGAGGUGAAAUUCGUAGAUAUCAGGAGGAACACCGGUGGCGAAGGCGGCUUCCUGGACACUAACUGACGCUGAGACGCGAAAGCGUGGGGAGCAAACAGGAUUAGAAACCCUCGUAGUCC